CAUUAAAGAGAUAGGGUCCUCGAGGCCCGAACCUCCCACCCUUUGUACACUUACCUUUGUUGCUUUGACGGACCGCGGGGUUCUGCAGACCCCCCGUUGACUUCGGUGGACGAGUUUCCGUCAGAGACCCCCUAAACUCAGCUUCUUUUGUGAUGUCCGAGUCAUAACACAAUCGUUUAAAACUUUCAACAACGGAUCUCUUGGUUCUGGCAUCGAUGAAGAACGCAGCGAAAUGCGAUAAGUAAUGUGAAUUGCAGAAUUCAGUGAAUCAUCGAAUCUUUGAACGCACAUUGCGCCCUCUGGUAUUCCGGGGGGCAUGCCUGUUCGAGCGUCAUUACACCUCUCAAGCACCGCUUGGUAUUGGGUGGUAGCCCCGUGGGGCUCACCUGAAAUUUAGCGGCGAUGCGGUCGGUCUUCAAGCGUAGUAAAACUUCAUGUUUCGCUUCUGGAGCCCGGGUGCGUUCGCCGGAUAACCCCUUAUUUUUUUAAUGGUUGACCUCGGAUCAGGUAGGGAUACCCGCUGAACUUAAGCAUAUCAAUA
rnacentral:rRNA from 1 species